CCAUUUUUCGGCCUGUCCCAGCAUACCCAAUAACAACAACCAGCGCAGCAGCCUACAACAACAGCCUCACCCAGCCCAAACCAACAUCCCAACCGACCCAACCCAAAACCCCUAAUCCUUUCCUCUUCAGCAAAAUCCGUUCCAGCACACGACAUUACGUACAACAAUGUGUACAACUUUUCAACAACAAUUAGCAACAAUAAUCUAAAAUCAUACCAUCCAACUCCGAACCAGCUUCAAAUGAGUCGACCCGACCUCGACCUAAUGAGGACUGACAAACCCUGCCUUUUUCCCUCUUCACAUCUCGGAAUUGCGAAAAACUUCUAGAAGGCUGUUAGGUGGCAGCCAAGACAAGGCAAAAACGAAUAUUCCACAAAAAAUCAACUGGAAAUCAUUAGAAUCGUACCAAGAAGGUACAGGUGCGUCUAAUUUCUAUUGGUUGGAAAAAAAUUCAUUUUCCCCAGUGUUCCCCAAAAUUCGAAUUUCCUUGGAAAAAUCCAAAAUCAAUACGAAAUUGAAGAGAAAUUUCUAUCCUUAUCCUAAUUUUGGAAAGAUCUCGGUUAGAAAAUCUCAAAAUUAUCCUUCAAUUUCCCUUUAUCCCACAUUGGUGGAACAAGAUUUGGCUCUCUGACUUUGUUCUCUAUAUAUAGCUCCUUUUAGAGCAAAAAGGGGCAAGUUUCAAAAGAGUGAAAUACUAUUUUGAGCAAAAAACCAGUGAAUUUUUUUUCUUUUUUAGUAAAAUUUUUAGAAGUCCUCGACCGAUCGAAAUUCUCAAAAUUCUCGAAGGACCGCUUCCGGUGGUGGCAUUUCGUUUUGCUGAUUCAAAACAGUCCAAAUGGACUCUUUUCCCUUCCAUUUCAUAAUGAACCAAUGAGGUCCAUCUUUUUGAGUCAAGCCCAAAAGAAAGUCCAAAGUCAGUUACGUGGCAUAGAGAUACAAGGAAUCGGAAGAAAGAGAAAUGGGUCAAAACCCCAUUGUUAAAGUAGUUAAGAGACUUUAAAAGCCUCAUUUGUUUAUUAUUGCUUUAUUUGUUUUUAUUUAGUUAGUUAUUUAUUUAUUCAUUCAUUUGAAGCUCGAAGCCAAAGUUGUAAACUAACACAGGUGAAGUGAAAUUUGGGCAAAAAAACUCGAAAAUAUAGUUUAGGACAGGUUAUGGGACAAAAGCCCAAUAUUUAAAUUAAGACAGUUGAUGAUGGGUCAAAAGCCCAAAUGAAUAACUUAGGAUAGGUGAAGAUGAGCUAUAAACUCAAAUGACUAGUUUAGGACA